CCCUGACUUUAAGUCAGUAAGGGUUGUUGUAGACUACGACGUAGAUAGGUCAGGUGUGUAAGUGUAGUGAUACAUUGAGCUAACAGAUACUAAUUGCCCGAGAGGCUUAACUAUACAACGCUCAAG
rnacentral:rRNA from 1 species